rnacentral:lncRNA from 1 species
AAAUUAUUUUCAUGGUUUUGUUGGAAACCCAAAUUAUUUUCACGGUUUUGUUGAAAUUGCAGGCUUAUCUUUGUGGUUUUGUUUGAAAGCCGGGUUUAUUUUAUGGUUUUGUUCAAGUUCUGGGCUUAUCUUCACGGUUUUGGUUGAAAUCCAGGCUUAUCGUCACGGUUUUGUUCAAAAUUUGGGCUUUUCACCCCAGUUUUGCUCGAAAUCCAGAUUUAUUUUACAGUUUCGUUCAAGUGCUGGGCUUAUCUUCACGCUCUUGUUUGAAAUCUGCAUUUAUUUUUGUGGUUUCAUUCAAAUUCUGGGCUUUCCAUCCCAAUUUUGUUUGAAAUCCAGGUUUAUUUUACAGUUUUCUUCAAGUUCUGGACUUACAUUCAUGGUUUUGGUCAAAAUCCACAUUUAUUAUCAUGGUUUUAUUCAAGUUCUGGGCUUUUCAUCCCAAUUUUGUUCAAAAUCCGGGUUUAUUUUCAUGUUUUUUUUCAAGUUUUUGGCUUGUCUUCAUGGUUUUCUUCAAAAUCUGGGUUUAUCUUCACAGUUUUAUUCAAAAUUUGGGUUUUCCAUCCCAGUUUUGUUCAAAAUCUGUGUUUCUUUUCACAGUUUUAUUGGAAAUCCAGGCUUAUAUUCACGGUUUUCUUCAUAUUUUGGGUUUAUUUUCAUAUUUUUCUUCUAAUUCUGGGCUUCUCCUCCUGGUUGUGCUCAAAUCCUGGUCUUUUCAUCCCAAUUUUAUUCAAAACCCGGGCUUCUCAUCCCAAUUUUCUUCAAAUUCUGGGUUGAUUUUCCUGUUUUUGUUCAAAAUCCGGGUUUUUUCUCCCAAUUUUCCUCAAAAUCUGCACUUUCCUUCCCAAUUUCAAAACCCACAUUUCUCCCUUUCUUCCUCACUCACAUCGAUGGGGGGGAAACCUAUUUAA